AGUGCCUGGCACAUAAUAAAUGUUGAUUGAUUGAUUGAUUGAUUGCAGUAGGACCCGAUUGUAGCCUGGAGGACAGCUGAGAAGAAGGAAGCCUCCUUAAGGUGAUUGGCUGAAGAACAGCAGCCAUAGGUGAUCUAAGGCUGCCCCAAAGCAGCUGGAGGAGGAGCAGGGCUAGGAGCUGAGCAGGACCCAACCAGCUCUGCACACCUAGGAGCAGGAAGCAGAGCAGCUGGUCCAUGAAAGUGAAAUCCAGCAGGAGACUUGCCUUCACCAGGCCCAACUAAGUGAGCCAGAACGAACAGACCACUGAGCGCUCUAAGGCACAGAUGAAGAGAGCUCACUAUGAUGCCAAGGAGCAGAACUGGUUGCAGAAACACCUGCAGCACAUGGAGAAUCUACAGAAGGAAAAUGCGGAGUUAGAGAGGGUCAGUGGGGAGCUGCGGCAGGUUUGGCUGAAGAUCAAAGAGGUUGAGCAGGCCUGCCGCCACCUUGCAGCCCGAAUUGAAAUGCUGGAGGCACAGCCCCUGGAGCAGCCACAGCCAUCAGAGCAAGAACCAUCCCUAGGUACAGAGCUAAUGAGAGGAAAAGAGUAAACACCUCGACCCUUAUCAUACAACCUUGGAAGAACUGAAAAUUUAUGAGUCCCUAAAAGUAUCUCUGAAAACAGCUGUACAAACCCCCGAAGCUUGGGACAGUACAUUCUCCACAUUGGAAGCAGACCUCUACCUUAAUAAAGAGUUUAUAACUCAAGUAAUUGGGUGGGAU
rnacentral:lncRNA from 1 species